rnacentral:rRNA from 1 species
UCUACGGGACGCAGCAGUGAGGAAUAUUGGUCAAUGGUCGGGAGACUGAACCAGCCAAGCCGCGUGAGGGAGGAAGGUACAGAGUAUCGUAAACCUCUUUUGUCAGGGAACAAAGGCGGGGACGUGUCCCCGGAUGAGUGUACCCGAAGAAAAAGCAUCGGCUAACUCCGUGCCAGCAGCCGCGGUAAUACGGAGGAUGCGAGCGUUAUCCGGAUUUAUUGGGUUUAAAGGGUGCGUAGGCGGACAGUCAAGUCAGCGGUAAAAAUGCGGUGCUCAACGCCGUACAGCCGUUGA